AUGAUCUUUACCUUGUACAGACUGAGCCUUGUAAGUACUGGAGAUCUUUGUAGACUUGUCAUACUGGCUCCUAGUAGUCAGCCUGCCUUGUACUCAGCCUGUGGAUGCAACAACCACCAUAGUUUUACUUGCACUUGCAUAGCUGGAUUUGUACACAACAGUUGGAGUCGUUCAGAUUAUGCUCGGCUAGGUAAACACACACCACUUGGUCACCUUUCCUGGAGCCUGGCUCAAUUGAGAGCACAUCACUUUGCAGAAGAAUCACUUCUUGAGUCACUACACCAGAAAGAACUGAUGAACAGAACGAAAAAAAGCACUCAAAUAGCCGUGAAACAAUUUCAAAAAAACAAAUCCGCCACACAGCAUGCUAGCAACCCUGGUUGUUCAGAAAUUCAGUAA
rnacentral:rRNA from 1 species